rnacentral:sRNA from 2 species
GUUGUGCCAAACAAAAGUAAAAAGCAAAGAUAAAUGAAUAAAAAGGAAUUAAUAAAUUACAGAUUAAAAAAAUGGAAGCUUGAAUGAAUUCCACGAUAAGGAAAAACAGUAUCAAGGAGGGAGAUCUGGCAAGCUCUCGUGUCAAUGAGCAAAACCUCCAGUUUAACAAACAAUAACUUGAGGAUUCUCAGCCUGGGAGCCUGUGUCAUAAUCAUUCACUUUUCCGAUAUUCCUCUUGAAGGACAUACUAGGGAUAAGCAAGAGGCGGCGGCAUAAUUACUGGCUCCAACCCUUCACAAUAACGUGAGGAAUCCUGUAAAUCGGGAAAGAAACGUUGCACCGGUGCCUGGAGUUGGUGGGCAUGAAUUGCAUUUACAUUA